rfam:Kluyvera intermedia strain CAV1151, complete genome.
GGCGCUUCAGGUGGCUCUUGGGCUAAAGUACUGACGACAGACCAGAAGCGGGAAGCCGUGGAAGUCAUGUGCGAGGCUAAGGGUCUGUCGCAACGUCGUGCCUGCAGGCUGGCAGGUC